GAUGAACGCUGGCGGCGUGCCUAAUACAUGCAAGUCGAGCGAACAGACGAGGAGCUUGCUCCUCUGACGUUAGCGGCGGACGGGUGAGUAACACGUGGAUAACCUACCUAUAAGACUGGGAUAACUUCGGGAAACCGGAGCUAAUACCGGAUAAUAUAUUGAACCGCAUGGUUCAAUAGUGAAAGACGGUUUUGCUGUCACUUAUAGAUGGAUCCGCGCCGCAUUAGCUAGUUGGUAAGGUAACGGCUUACCAAGGCAACGAUGCGUAGCCGACCUGAGAGGGUGAUCGGCAACACUGGAACGGGAACACGGUCCAGACUCCUACGGGAGGCAGCAGUAGGGAAUCUUCCGAGAUGGGCGAAAGCCUGACGGAGCAACGCCGCGUGAGUGAUGAAGGUCUUCGGAUCGUAAAACUCUGUUAUUAGGGAAGAACAAAUGUGUAAGUAACUAUGCACGUCUUGACGGUACCUAAUCAGAAAGCCACGGCUAACUACGUGCCAGCAGCCGCCGUAA
rnacentral:rRNA from 1 species